rnacentral:lncRNA from 1 species
GAAAUAAUAAACUUUUUUCUUUGUAAAUCGAUGAAUCACAAUCACGUAUAAUCAUCUGAAUAAUUCCGGUUGCUAUAGUAACUACUUUUAUGGUCCUUCAAUUUACAACCGCAAGAACUCUUUCGCUGAACAAGUUUUUCUUUUAUGUUAAUGAGACAGUAAAGUGUAUAACUAAAAGUUGUGUAGCAUAUGGAGGAGAAGAGUCUUUGCCUGUGAACGUCAGCUUCUUUAAUUUGCUAAACUUAUUAUGUAUUUUGUAGUAAGAAAAAUGACCUACUUGUCUCCUUAGGAAAUGGAGUUAAACUUUGUUAUAAUGCUUAUUAGCUGAAUUAUUAUUGAGCCAAACUUCUCUCAUUUGCGAAAUUAUUAUGUCUUUCAUAAUACAUUUUCAUUCCGUUUCCAGAACCUAUUUAAUCUAUUCAUUUUCAUUUGGGUAUAGUUCUAGGUAACAAAACAUAUCCCUUCAAAAUAGAAAUUCCAAUUUUUACUAUCUUCCUAUUUUUUCGGUGUUCAUUUGAUAAAGUAUAUUUGUUUGGUGAUUCUUGUUGUAGGUUCUUUCAAGUUUCCUCUUCAUUCUCUUAUCUACUGAACAAUACAAAUCUAAGGUGAGGAUUCCUUUUUUUUUUUUUUUUUUGGUAAAGUUUAUUUCUUCUACUUCUAAAAAAUUUACUUUCAAUUUCUUUUUACCGUUAGCUUUAGUUUUAAAAUUUUAAAAUUUUUAUUUUGUAUUCAUGAUUUUUUUAUUCCUACAACUGUUUCGUUAAGUUUGUUUCUUUUACUUUUAAAGGAAUUACUGUCAAAGACCUCAAGGUCCACAAUUCCUGGUCAUUUUGAAGCCUCCAAAUAUGUGAUUUGCAAUCAUGGGUGAAAUCUCUAGAAUACUCCAGGUGAGUUUCUAAUUAGGAUAGGCAUUUCUUCAUUGUGUUGAUCACAUCUAUUCUAAGCACUAAACUUUGUGCUGGUGGAAACUUUUCUAAAAUAGAUGAGUGAUGAAGAACAUGUCAUUUUGAAUUUUAAAUUUACUUGAAAAAAUUUGAAUACAUUGGUGGCUAAGGAUAUGUUUUACAGAUGCUUUCUUAAAAUAUGUUCACAACUCAUGAGUAUAGUGCAAACUCGUCAUGGCAUCGAUCAUAUCGAACUCUUCAGGUUCUUUAUAACUGAUAUUGUUUUUGAUGUAUCCACUGCUCCAUAUAUGAUGCAUGCUUUUGAAUUAAUUUUAGGUUGCGCUUGAAGAUGGAAUCAGUGUCUUGAGAUUGGAAUUAUCGAGAAGCUAAUUCCAAAUUUUCCUAUUUUGACGUCCCAGUUUUUAUGUUACUUAAAAAGUGUAUUAUUGUCUAACAUCUUAAGCUUUGAUGUGCUCUGGAGGAUGUUAUAAAAAAUUCAUAUGAGGAAGUUAGAUAUAAACCUUUAUGUUGUCUACUAAUUUUGUUGUACCGAAAGAUAGUUGAGCUACAUUGUAAUUUUGCUGAUGUCAGGCCAUUUAGUAGAUGCUUAAUUUUGAAUUAUUAUAACAAGACAAGUGCAGGUGUAAUGUAUAUGUGAGCACAUGUUUAAAACAGUUAAAAAUAGUUUAUCAUCUCAAGUUGUUCAAUUUUUUACCGUUCUUUUUGUGUACUGUCAAAGCCUAUGGCAGAUUUCACUUAUAUAAAAUCGCUUUUCAAGAUAUGUAGUGGAAAAUUGGUAAUUUCAAAUUUGUUAACUACAGUUAAGAGUUUGACACUGGUGUUUGAAUAAGUGAUAAAUCGAGUCAACUUAGGCUCUUUAAGAAUGUGUAGGGACAUUUUAA